rnacentral:rRNA from 1 species
CCUACGGGAGGCAGCAGUGGGGAAUAUUGCACAAUGGGCGCAAGCCUGAUGCAGCCAUGCCGCGUGUGUGAAGAAGGCUCUAGGGUUGUAAAGCACUUUCAGCGAGGAGGAAAGGUUGGUUGUUAAUACCGGCCNACUGUGACGUUACUCGCAGAAGAAGCACCGGCUAACUCCGUGCCAGCAGCCGCGGUAAUACGGAGGGUGCGAGCGUUAAUCGGAAUUACUGGGCGUAAAGCGUGCGUAGGCGGNUACUUAAGUUGGAUGUGAAAGCCCCGGGCUCAACCCGGGAACUGCAUCCAAAACUGGGUAGCUGGAGUGCGGAAGAGGAGUGUGGAAUUUCCUGUGUAGCGGUGAAAUGCGUAGAUAUAGGAAGGAACACCAGUGGCGAAGGCGACACUCUGGUCUGACACUGACGCUGAGGUACGAAAGCGUGGGGAGCAAACAGGAUUAGAUACCCUGGUAGUCCACGCCGUAAACGAUGUCUACUAGUUGUCGGGGGCCUUGUAUCCUUGGUAACGAAGCUAACGCGAUAAGUAGACCGCCUGGGGAGUACGGCCGCAAGGUUAAAACUCAAAUGAAUUGACGG